rnacentral:rRNA from 1 species
CUCGCCUCUUUGAAGUCGGAAUCGCUAGUAAUCGCAGAUCAGCAUGUUGCGGUGAAUACGUUUCCUGGUCUUGUACACACCGCCCGUCAAACCAUGAGAGUCGCCAACACCCGAAGUCCGCUUUGCGGCCUAAGGUGGGGGAGAUGAUUGGGGUUAAGUCGUAACAAGGUAAC